rnacentral:rRNA from 1 species
UACGUAGGGUGCAAGCGUUAAUCGGAAUUACUGGGCGUAAAGCGUGCGCAGGCGGUUGUGCAAGACAGAUGUUAAAUCCCCGGGCUUAACCUGGGAAUUGCAUUUGUGACUGCACGGCUAGAGUGUGUCAGAGGGGGGUAGAAUUCCACGUGUAGCAGUGAAAUGCGUAGAUAUGUGGAGGAAUACCGAUGGCGAAGGCAGCCCCCUGGGAUAACACUGACGCUCAUGCACGAAAGCGUGGGGAGCAAACAGG